CAACACUGCAAGCUUGGGUGUUCAUAAUUAAGUGGAUCUAUAUGUCUGAUGUGUGAUGACAUUAAAUGCUUGAGUUGAAUCUGGCUUCAAUUCACCACCUCACCAUCAGCUCUGCUGGGUUCAGCC